GAUGAAGAACGUAGCGAAAUGCGAUAAGUAAUGUGAAUUGCAGAAUUCAGUGAAUCAUCGAAUCUUUGAACGCAUCUUGCGCUCCUUGGUAUUCUGAGGAGCAUGCCUGUUUGAGUGUCAUUAAAUUCUCAACUACACUGACUUUGAAUUGGUGUGGCUUGGAUUUGGGGGGAAAAUUGUUGUGGGCUUUUUGUAUAGUCUGCUCCCCUGAAAUUGAUUAGCGGUACCUUUGUGGAACUGUCUACAGGUGUGAUAAUUAUCUACAUCUUAGACAUCUGCUGGAAUGCUGCUUUCUAAACCUUACUUGUAUUGACAAUCUUGACCUCAAAUCAGGUAGAACUACCCGCUGAACUUAAGCAUAUCAAUAAGCGGAGGA
rnacentral:misc_RNA from 1 species